CCCAGACUCCUACGGGAGGCAGCAGUGGGGAAUAUUGCACAAUGGGGGAAACCCUGAUGCAGCGACGCCGCGUGAGUGGAGAAGUAAUUCGUUAUGUAAAGCUCUAUCAGCAGGGAAGAAAAUGACGGUACCUGAGUAAGAAGCCCCGGCUAACUACGUGCCAGCAGCCGCGGUAAUACGUAGGGGGCAAGCGUUAUCCGGAUUUACUGGGUGUAAAGGGAGCGUAGACGGCAGUGCAAGUCUGGAGUGAAAGGCGGGGGCUCAACCCCCGGACUGCUUUGGAAACUGUGUUGCUGGAGUGCUGGAGAGGCAAGCGGAAUUCCUAGUGUAGCGGUGAAAUGCGUAGAUAUUAGGAAGAACACCAGUGGCGAAGGCGGCUUGCUGGACAGUAACUGACGUUGAGGCUCGAAAGCGUGGGGAGCAAACAGGAUUAGAUACCCUAGUA
rnacentral:rRNA from 1 species